rfam:Trichomalopsis sarcophagae strain Alberta scaffold979, whole genome shotgun sequence.
GCUCCAGUGGCGCAAUUGGUUAGCGCACGGUACUUAUAAGACAGUGUUACGUGAGCAAUGCCGGGGUUGUGAGUUCGAGCCUCACCUGGAGCA